UGUGGUGGUUUUAGCACAAUGCAUCUUUUCACAUCAGAGAGGAAUUGCUGAAAAAGAUGAUGGAAUCUUCUUUCAAUAAUGUUGGUGUUACGAUAAAGCAGAAGAAAAGUUCCAUCAAAGUGGAGUCGUUUUUUAUAACAAAUUUGGAAAAUACAGUUGAAUGAUAUAUUAUUAAGACAGUAUUUCGUUUGUCCUGUGUAAAGAAUGUGGGAUAUGACAGUAAAUGACAAUUUUUUCGUUUCAGUGAU